rfam:Oryza barthii chromosome 3, whole genome shotgun sequence.
AAUAAAUAUAGUUUUGCACUAUUCACCUUCAACGUUUGACCGUUCGUCUUAUUUGAAAUUUUUUUAUGAUUAAUAUUUUUAUUGCUAUUAAAUGAUAAAACAUUAAUAAUACUUUAUGUGUGACUAAAUAUUUUCAAAUUUUUCAUAAAAUUUUCAAAUAAGACGGACGGUCAAACGUUGAGCAUAGAUAUCUAUGUAUGUACUUAUU